AUUUCAGCCAUUGGACGAUGACGCGGUGGGUACCACUACUUCUGCUGGCCCCAGGCCCUCCCUUCCCAUGGCCACAGCACUCCAGAGCAUCCCAGUUUGCCCCAGUACAGCCCAGUGCAUCCCACUGCGACUCCAGAGAAUGCCCCUGCACCCUAAUGCCUUCCAAGGGACCAUCUCUGCCCCAGAGCCCCCUUUGCAUUCCAUCCAUCCCAGCACACCUGAGGGUCCCCCAGUACACAGCCACACACCCAGGUGGGCUCCUUCCCAGGAUGCUCUCUGCUUUCUGUGCGCCACCAUCUCAGCUCAUCUACUCCAGAGGCUACUUCCCCAAGGACUCCACUGCUUCCCCCACCCUCCCAGUCCAGCCCAGUGCACCCAGACUUGUUCCUAACCUACCUUUCUCCCCAGCUACUUCUAGCUGCUGAUGUGAAAGAGCGACAGCGCUAGAAGCGCCUGGCUGUAGCUGCUAAAGCUGCUCUGGCCUAGGACUGGAACUGCUGGUGACACCCCUGUCCUGUCCUGUCCCACUCCAGUGGCAUGAGGAGAUGAUCCCCUCUGGAUGACACCCCUGGUCCCCUGGGAGCCCUGGCCCAUGUACCUCUCAUGAUCAAUAAACUCCCUCAGCAAAGCCACA